CAUUUACCGAGUGAGGGCCCUUUGGGUCCAACCUCCCACCCGUGUUUAUUUUACCUUGUUGCUUCGGCGGGCCCGCCUUUACUGGCCGCCGGGGGGCUCACGCCCCCGGGUCCGCGCCCGCCGAAGACACCCUCGAACUCUGUCUGAAGAUUGAAGUCUGAGUGAAAAUAUAAAUUAUUUAAAACUUUCAACAACGGAUCUCUUGGUUCCGGCAUCGAUGAAGAACGCAGCGAAAUGCGAUACGUAAUGUGAAUUGCAAAUUCAGUGAAUCAUCGAGUCUUUGAACGCACAUUGCGCCCCCUGGUAUUCCGGGGGGCAUGCCUGUCCGAGCGUCAUUGCUGCCCUCAAGCCCGGCUUGUGUGUUGGGCCCCGUCCUCCGAUUCCGGGGGACGGGCCCGAAAGGCAGCGGCGGCACCGCGUCCGGUCCUCGAGCGUAUGGGGCUUUGUCACCCGCUCCGUAGGCCCGGCCGGCGCUUGCCGAUCAACCCAAAUUUUUAUCCAGGUUGACCUCGGAUCAGGUAGGGAUACCCGCUGAACUUAAGCAUAUCAAUAAGCGGAGGA
rnacentral:rRNA from 1 species